rnacentral:tRNA from 1 species
GGGGCUAUAACUCAGUUGGUAGAGUGCUUGUUUUACAGGCAUAAGGCCAUGGGUUCAAUCCCCAGCACCA